rnacentral:lncRNA from 1 species
AUUCUCCUUUCCCUCCUCUCCAUCUCCCUAUUGCAUUGUGUCUGACUGAUUUUCAGAGCACCUUCGCUGUUUCCCCCUUCUCGUUCCCUUCUCAUAAAAUAUCUAGACAGGAAGGAGGUGGCUGCAGAGGCUGAACAAUCUCAUAUUCUGCCUGCAAUGUCAUCGUUUCUUUCCCCCAUUUUAGGGGGCUGAAGUUGCCCAGCAAGGGAUGCAGAGGAGCUGGAAAAGAAGGGGGGAGCUCUCCAGAGGCAGCUGCGGUCAGGGGCAGGGACUGCCGCCAGAUGUGCCUGCCUUUCUGGGCUUUGAUGAGAAAGGGGCAGCAGGAGGAAAUAUUGGGAGACAAAAGCCCCGGUUUAAAUGAUCAUUUUCUUUAUUUAACAUGGCAGCAGACACUCUCUGCGUAGGAUCAUCAUGCCGAGCAUAAACUGGACUUUCCCACUUGCCUGGCAGGAGUCACACAGAUCCCUGCGUGCUAAAUGAACAUCUGAGGUUUGAGAUGGGGCCCAAGAUGCUUUUCUGACAAGUUUCCUGGUGAUGCAAUGUUGCUGUUGGGGAAACCUCCAUUUGACCCUUGAAUCCUGACUAUUGGAGAAACAGCACCAUAUUUUGGAUACUGAUUCAGACCAUAUACAGCCUUCUGGAGAAUCUUGCCCCAGUCCUGAAAGGUAUUUCUAUUCAUCUAGUUGGUGCUAUAACUGAGUCUUCAAAAGACAAUUCCACUGUUCUAUCAAGAAAGCUGCUUCAGGAUGGUGGGAAAUAUGAUGUCCUUGGCGUGUACACCCUGUGGAAUCUGGUUCAUCUUCAAUCUGUCAGAAGGCAUCAGAGGUGGUUUUGACUCCUUAUGUCUUGGACCUGUGCACAAAAAGUGUAAAAUGGAUGGAACAUCAGACAGCUCAUUAUAGAGACAAGUAAGCUCCAGUUCCAAAGUUGGUUGACAGAACAAGUCAUGACCUUGUGUGGAGGAAAAUGAGAUCCCGAGUGAAGUCUACAAUGUCAUUGACUCUGAAGAAGGACUCAGAGACCCAUUGGUGUUUAAUGACCCUUACUGGCCUAUGCAAUGGAAACUGGUAUGAUCUUCAGAAAUAGAUGGUUCUUUGGCAGUGUUAAGAAAUAUUAUUUUUGUCAUGUUCUAAUGCAGUAGAUAGGCACUUUUAUGCACUGCCUGCUUUUAUCUAUUGGUUUUGCAGAGAGAGACUUAGCAAACUUUUGAUGAAAUAUUACUGCCAUCUUAUUAAUGAACACUAAUCCUUUUAAUUUGAUUACAUCCUUAGGGUUUGAUUUAAUCUAUAAAAGACACCAGUAAAAACCCCAAGAUAUUUAAAUUUGGUGUGUGUAAACAGACUCAUUACAUAGAAAUGUUGUUGCCAUUCAGGCUUGAAGUUUUUGUUCUUGCAUAACUUAGAAUAUAUUCUAUAUUACAUCAAUACUGAGAGAACUUGUCUUUAUGGAUUAAGUGGAUGUUAGAACAUUGCCCAACAGACUUUUUUUCAUAAUGCUUAUUUUGUUGGACCUUUUAGUAUCACAUUGCCCUCCCAUUUAUAUAAGACGGUAAUAAUGAAAAGGUUUGAGAAAAGCACCCUUAAUUUUGAAUGCAAAUAAGUUUAAAAAAAUGAUGUACAUACCAUGGAAAAUUUUAUAAGGAAACAUUUAAAAUGUGAAGAUAACUUGGUGAUAAUAUUGGAGAGAAAUUACAACCUUAUUAUAUGCAUAAUUAGUUCUUCAUAGGUCUGCAGAUUAUAUUGUGUUGUAGAGGGUCCAAUGUUGCAAAAUGAGGAAAAGGUUAGGUGCAUUUUAUCAUUUUAAGGGCCAUGAUGAGAUAAAACAUGGUAAGCUGUUGUGCUGGCUCUUUUUAUGUUGAUCAUUGGCAGUUACCAAGCUGACUAUCUGACAUGAGCUGAAAACCUAUGUUGAAAAAAUGUCCAGUUCCAUUUUAUGUAGCUUCAACUCAUCUUUAAAAAAUGAAGUGAUUUAGAACACAUGUCACGCACUCCUGGGCCAGCCAGCUUCCCUUUCUCUCCUCGUAUGUAAUAUCUUUUUUUCCCCUUUCUAGCAAGUACUUUCAAAAGAACUCUGUACAUUUUAACAUAAAAAAUAAAUUAUGUUGGGCCAUUUUGGAAAAAAAAUACUUAUUUGGCUAAAUUUAACAUUUCAAACAAAUAAAAAAUUCAAGCAGAAAAUAAUUGAGGACUGCUUCAGUUUCCUGGAGGUGGUAUAAUCAGUAACAAUUUAGUGAACUAGAGUCAAUCAGGAUUAUGAAAGUCAAAGAGAAAAAGAGUGAUAUUAAGAAAAAGGACUGAGGAAAGGUAACUAGAUAAGGAAGAAGGGCAUGAAAUAUGAAAAAAAAAACCUUUCUUUUUUUUCUUUACCUGAAGAAACAGCAAAAAUUAAGAUGAGUACUUGAAGAUUACACAUAUGACACAUUGUAAUUUGUCACCUCAGAAAGAAUACUUUCUUGUAUUGGCAAUAAAAUGUCAAGCCCCUCUAUAAUGAGGUCAAGAAUUUCAGCAGACACAAUAGGGAAAGGAGAUGGAGGGCAAGUAAUACAGGAAAGAAGAGAAGAAUUGAGUAGCAAGCAGUCAAUAAAGUGACAGGGAUUAGAAAUGGAGAGAAGUCUUAGAGACCAUUAAGCAAUAGAUCCUCUUAAAAGCAGCAUAGAAGAGAUCAUGAAAGGAAAAAGCAGAAAAAAGAAGUUGUAUGAUGACCCUAUAUCAUUUUCUAGGGCAGGAGUUGAUAAACCUUUCCUGUAAAAGUUCAGAUAGUAUAUAUUCAGGGUUUGUGGGCCACAUAAUUGGCUGUGGCAUAUUCUUUUGUUUCUUUAUUUCAGAUUUUUUAAAAUGUAAAAACCAUUUUUUCACUUAGGGCCAUAUGAAAACAGGUUAUAGGCUGGAUUUUACUCACUGGCCAUAGUUUACUGACACCAGUAGGGAGUGGGAGCUAUGGAGAAAUGAGGAGUCAGGGAGGAAGCAGCCAUUCAGAUGUAGGCCUUCAAGUGCUGUGCUGAGUUAUACCCACAUUACACUAGUACAAUUCAGAGAUGAAAGGUCUGGAUUAUUAUUAUUUCCAGGUAGCACCAUUCUGGAGGCACAUCUACCAUUAUGGAAAAGAUUCGUUUUAGUACCCAGGCAAGGCAUGGUACAUAAUUGCAAAGAAUGGGCUGCACUUUACAACUGGAUGGUGUAUCUAAAACAUAUUAAUAACAACAGACCUAAACUGUGUUGCAGAAUCCAUCCUCUCACCAGAAUACCAACUUUAUUUCAAUGAAAGACUGAGUGGUUCAGGGUGUUGUGCUGCCUUAACAGGGAAAUUUGAGGCCUUAUUCUGAUGAGCACCCUUUAAGCAGCCUCCUUCAGUUACUAGUUUCUCUCUCCGCUCUUCACAGCCAACCUUCCUGAAAUGGUCUUUCUUAUCUUCAUUUUUGUGCUCAUCUACUCCUCAGCCAACACUUGUAGCAAUCUGGUUUUGUGAUGCCCUUCCACGUAUCUCUGCCAUCGUGUCACCCCCACACUCUCUACUUAAUCUCUCAAUGCAACAGAGACUUUUCAGUUCUUGUGUUACUUGAAUCAUCAAUUAUGAACUUAUAACUACUCAUAUAAAACCUUUGAUAAUUAAAAUCAGAUUUCUAAUAUUCAUUCAUUCAUUCAUAAUAUUCCUUUGCUGACAUUACUAGUUUCAAUUCUGGCUGUUUUGGUUCUAGACUACAAACUAAAUACAACAAACCCCAUAAGAAUGCAAAUAGCCGUGAUUCCUCUCCCAAAGCUCUUUGAUUGUGCCUCCCCAGCAUUCCUUCCUGACUAAUUCCAUCUUGUAUUCCAAAAUUGACUCUGGCACUAAAUCCUAAGAGGAGAUUUUUUUUUAACCUACUACCAAAGUGAAUUAGGCCACUUUUCCUCUGCACUCCCAUGAAACAGUUGUGCCCUCGCUGCCAUUUGAAUGAGUAAACACAUGAAUUAAUCAAUGGGUUAAUGCUUAGCAAUUUGUGGGAGCUCUCAACUUGAGAAUAAUAUGCUUAAGGACAGGGAUUAUGCCUUACUCCUAGUCCCUCUUGCAACCCAUGCCAAGAAACCUGACAUUUUAAAAUACCAUAUUAGUAUUUGUUUAAUGAGAAAAUUUUAGAAUGCAUAUAUAAAUGUAGCUACUCAUUUUUCUUCACUUUUCUAUUCUAAAGUCCAAAAAUCUGUUUAGUCCUUACUUGCUACAAACCUGUAUUCUAAUAAAUAUUGUUCUCACUUGGAAAAUAAACUCCCAUCUCUUUACCAAUAAUU